UACGGAGGAUCCGAGCGUUAUCCGGAUUUAUUGGGUUUAAAGGGUGCGCAGGCGGGAGAUUAAGUCGGCGGUGAAAUUUUGCAGCUCAACUGUAAAAGUGCCUUCGAAACUGGUUUUCUUGAGUAUGGAUGAAGUAGGCGGAAUUUGUGGUGUAGCGGUGAAAUGCAUAGAUAUCACGAGGAACUCCGAUUGCGCAGGCAGCUUACUAAGCCAUAACUGACGCUCAUGCACGAAGGCGUGGGGAUCAAACAGGAUUAGAUACC
rnacentral:rRNA from 1 species